UUAAGACAUUGCCAGUUCCAAGGAAAAAAUGCAAACCAAAUAUAGCAACAGAGUAUUGAUUAUGCCCAGCACUCAAUGUCAAAUUUCCUAUCACAGAAAAAUAUUUAGUUUCAUGCCUGAAUCCAGGUCAAAUUAUUGCCUCUUUUGCUGUCUUCUUUUGACAUGA